CCGGUUGAUCCUGCCAGAGGUUACUGCUAUCGAGGUUCGACUAAGCCAUGCGAGUCGAAUGUAGCAAUACAUGGCGUACUGCUCAGUAACACGUGGAUAACCUGCCCUUAGAACGGGGAUAAACCCGGGAAACUGGGUAUAAUACCCGAUAGAUCUCGAUUGCUGGAAUGCAUCGAGMUYUAAAGCUCCGGCGUCUAAGGAUGGAUCUGCGGCCUAUCAGGUAGUAGUGGGUGUAGCGUACCUACUAGCCUACGACGGGUAAGGGUUGUGAGAGCAAGAGCCCUGAGAUGGAUUCUGAGACAUGAAUCCAGGCCCUACGGGGUGCAGCAGGCGCGAAAACUUUACACUGCGGGCAACCGCGAUAAGGGGACCCCGAGUGCCAGCACCUAGUGCUGGCUGUCCAGCUGUUCAAAAAACAGUUGUUAGCAAGGGCCGGGCAAGACCGGUGCCAGCCGCCGCGGUAACACCGGCGGCCCGAGUGGUAGCCGUUAUUAUUGGGUUUAAAGGGUCCGUAGCCGGCCUAUUAAGUCUCUUGGGAAAUCUGGCGACUCAAUCGUCAGGCGUUCAAGAGAUACUGUUAGGCUUGGGACCGGGAGAGGUGGGAGGUACUCCAGGGGUAGGGGUGAAAUCUCGUAAUCCUUGGGGGACCACCGAUGGCGAAGGCAUCCCACCAGAACGGGUCCGACGGUGAGGGACGAAAGCUGGGGGCACGAACCGGAUUAGAUACCCGGGUAGUCCCAGCUGUAAACGAUGCUCGCUAGGUGUCAGGUGCGGUGCGACCGCAUCUGGUGCCGCAGUGAAAACUUGAAGCGAGUCACCUGGGAAGUACGGUCGCAAGGCUGAAACUUAAAGGAAUUGGCGGGGGAGCACUACAACGGGUGGAGCCUGCGGUUCAAUUGGAUUCAACGCCGGA
rnacentral:rRNA from 1 species